GCAUAUCAAUAAGCGGAGGAAAAGAAACCAACAGGGAUUGCCUCAGUAACGGCGAGUGAAGCGGCAAAAGCUCAAAUUUGAAACCUUCGGGAUUGUAAUUUGAAGAUUUGGCAUUGGAGAAAGCUAACCCAAGUUACUUGGAAUAGUACGUCAUAGAGGGUGACAACCCCGUCUGGCUAACCGUUCUCCAUGUAUUGCCUUAUCAAAGAGUCGAGUUGUUUGGGAAUGCAGCUCAAAGUGGGUGGUAAACUCCAUCUAAAGCUAAAUACUGGUGAGAGACCGAUAGCGAACAAGUACUGUGAAGGAAAGGUGAAAAGAACUUUGAAAAGAGAGUGAAAUAGUAUGUGAAAUUGUUGAUAGGGAAGGAAAUGAGCGGAGAGUGGUUUAGGUUUCAGCUUUCCUUUGGGAUUGUGUACUGCCGACGCCGAGUCAUUGACAGCGAGACGGGGGUUAUAAACGGGUUGCUCUUGAGCUUCUCACCCGACCCCCCCACUGCCGCCAACGACAUAAUCCGCCCAUUUCACCCGUCUUGAAACACGGACCAAGGAGUCUAAUGGAUAUGUGAGUGUUAGGGUGCUAAACCCCAGCGCGCAAUGAAAGUGAAUGAUUCGUUCAGAAUCGACCGAACUUGAUUUUUAUGACAGUUUUGAG
rnacentral:rRNA from 1 species